ensembl:misc_RNA 7SK 7SK RNA
GGGAGUCAGGAUGGUCUGACUGUGACAUCUAUCACCCCAAUGACCUCCAGGGGUUGAUGCGGCUGGUCUGGCUGGCUCAAUAGCUGUCCCCUUCCUCCCUCACAAUGUCAUGUGUGUCCUUUCUGAAACCGUGCACUCAGUCAAAGAGGAAGGUCUUCCCUGACUGACACUUAGGUCAAAAGUGAGCGAGUAGCUGCACUGCUCUGCUAGAACCUUCCAAUAAGCCGCCAAGGUUCAUGGUGCUCUGAGGAUUUCCCCAUUUCUUGCUCACUUGCAGAGCUCU